UACGUAGGUGGCGAGCGUUGCCCGGAUUUACUGGGCGUAAAGGGAGCGUAGGCGGACUUUUAAGUGAGAUGUGAAAUACUCGGGCUCAACUUGAGUGCUGCAUUUCAAACUGGAAGUCUAGAGUGCAGGAGAGGAGAAUGGAAUUCCUAGUGUAGCGGUGAAAUGCGUAGAGAUUAGGAAGAACACCAGUGGCGAAGGCGAUUCUCUGGACUGUAACUGACGCUGAGGCUCGAAAGCGUGGGGAGCAAACAGG
rnacentral:rRNA from 1 species